rfam:Ovis aries breed Texel chromosome 4, whole genome shotgun sequence.
UCCCUGGUGGCUCAGAUGGUAAAGCAUCUGCCCGCAAUGCGGGAGACCCUGGUUCAAUCUCUAGGUCAGGAAG